rnacentral:tRNA from 1 species
GCCGGGGUAGCUCAGCCUGGUUAGAGUGCCAGUUCGCUUGGUAAAAUCUAACAGGUCUUCCAAAGAAGGCAAUACUCAUAAUCUGGAGGUCGCGGGUUCGAAACCCGCCCCCGGCA